AUGUAUACAACUUCCUAUGUACAUGAUUUUUGUUACAUUAAAUUUGUAUAUUGGGUUUGAAACUUAUCAGGGAAGAAACAAAUGAGAAACCCGAGAGGUGCUUGGAUCCUCAUCGGCCACCAUGUGCUGCGUAUGUUAAAAAAUCUCUUUAUCAACCUCAUUGUUCAUAUCUUCACAUAUAUAACUUUAACUCUUUAAUAACACAACAGAUUUGUGGAGAUAAUGGCUCCUGGAUUCUCAAGAGAUGCGUGGCGCUGCGUGUGGCAUAUGAUUCAGGUUACACUUACUCUAUUACCCCCUGUUUACACUUACUUCUUUUUAGUUCUUUUUCUCUAUCUCUUGCUUACACCUUAUUAUGAACCCCAAUAACAGAAUGAUUUGGUUCACGGUUGGGGUCUUGACUUUGCACUCAGAAGGUGUGUUGAGGUACACAAAACAUUACAUGUCUUUUAGCGUUAUAGAAAUGUUUUUUUUUUUGGUUAUUCAAUUAACAAAGAGGCUUCCAUAUUAUUUCUAUGUGAGAAUUAAGGAGCCUGCUUAUAAGAAGAUAGGAAUAGUAGACACUCAGUGGAUCGUUCAUCAAUCUAUACCUUCCCUUGGCAGUCAGGGAAAGGAAGAAGAUGGGAAAUCGCCAGGGCAAGGGGUAAGAGAAGCUUGGUCUUGCCUUUUUUCAAGAACUUGUCAAGCAAGUAACUAGAUGUGACAAUAUGUUUUUAAAACUUGUGUGGUUGUUGUUCAUGUAGGCGAGGGAUAGAUGUUAUAUGGAAUGGGCAAUGUUCGAGAAGAGAGUGGAUGAGGCAGAGAAGGAAUAUUUUAAAUCGUUACAAGUUCAAACUCCAUCCAAUUCAACUACAUUGCACUAGUACCUUACCCUUUUUUUUAAGCUGUGAGAUUUUUAAGUGCUUCUUCUCAACAUUUACAUACAAUCUUUAUAGAUAAUCUAAUAUAGAUAUACCUUUAAUCAGAUUCUGUUAAAACUUGAAGAUGACUAUCAAAUCACUUCUGCAACAAAAGAAAAGAUUGUCGAGUUAAUGAAACCGAACAUGUGUGUGAUCUCCGAGGAGAAGAAGAAGUGGGAAAGGUGUAGAGUGUUGUGUGUGUGUGUGUGUGUGUGUCUUUGUGGGUAUAAAGAGCAAGAAAGAAGUGAGUGAAUUGGUUUCUAGCAAGCAUUUUUUUCACAGAACUUGUCUUGACAACUAGUUUGGUAAUAACCAAACGACUUGUCCUCUUUGCAGAUCCAUUCUCUAGUAUUAGAAGUAUCUUGUUUAACACUAUAUCCCUCUUCUGAUUUUGUUAUGUUGUCUAAUACAAAUAUCAGAUUUCAAAAAUUCUUGUGUUUAUGUUUUAGAUGGAACUACUGUAUAUGCAUAAUAUAUAUAUAUAUAUAUAUAUAUAUAUAUCUAUGAGGGACAAAUAUCUCACAUCGGUAGUUGGAAAAGAUCCUUAGUAAUAUAUAAGAUAGAUAGACCACUCCACUUAUCACCAAAUGAUUUUAGGUUGUAAGUCCAUCUACCUUAACAUGGUAUCAGAGUCAGAUUCACGCAGUUUAACCCGAUCCACAUCGAUCCGGCCCAAAGUUGGCCUUCGAUUCUUGCAUAAACAUUCUGAAAUUGACGCUUAAAAAUCUAUCAUCUCGAGGGGGCAUAUUAAGAACAAAAGGUCCCACACCGGUAGUUGGAAAGGAUCAUUAGUAAUAUUUGAGUAGAGGAAUCACUCUAAUUAUCACCAAUUGGUUUUAGAUUGAAAAUUUAUUAGCUUAACACCUUGCAUAUUAUUUAUUGCAUUAAAACUGGUAAUCAAGAAAUAUACCAAUUAAUAGUAUGUAAUGAUUUAUUCCAUGCGCCUUUUAGCUUAAAGGAAACAACAUCCAGUUUUGUUACAAUAACCAAAAUAAACAAAAGAAGAUGGUUGCACACCAAGACAAAAAAAAGAAGUCGAGCACAAUCAAGAUUAAUUAAUAUAGAUAUACCUUUAAUCAGAUUCUGUUAAAACGUUGAAGAUGACUAUCAAAUAACUUUUGCAACAAAAGAUAAGAUUGUCGAGUUGAUGAAACCGAACAUGUGUGUGAUCUCGGAGGAGAAG
rnacentral:lncRNA from 1 species